UACGAAGGGGGCUAGCGUUGUUCGGAUUCAUUGGGCGUAAAGGGUGCGUAGGCGGCGCGGUAAGUCGGGUGUGAAAUCUUGGAGCUUAACUCCGAAACUGCAUUCGAUACUGCCGUGCUUGAGGACUGGAGAGGAGACUGGAAUUUACGGUGUAGCGGUGAAAUGCGUAGAUAUCGUGAGGAAGACCAGUGGCGAAGGCGGAUCUCUGGACAAAUCCUGACGCUGAGGCGCGAAGGCUAGGGGAGCAAACGGG
rnacentral:rRNA from 1 species